UGUGGGAGCGGGCUUGCCCGCGAUGGCGGCUUAACAUUCAGCUUUCAUGUUGCCUGUGACAUCGCUAUCGCGGGCAAGCCCGCUCCCACA
rnacentral:misc_RNA from 1 species